ACUGGGCAGAGGCAUCCUUCUCCUGUCGUCACUGCCAGGAAGAAACUGAAAUAGCCACACGGUCCUCUCUCAUUCCAUAGCUGGAGCACAGUUUACAGCCUUCAUUUCUUCAAUGCAUCCUUACUGUAUGUGUUUUCCUGCUUCCAAGACACGUUGGUGGUAUGUGAAGGCAACUGCUGAAGGUGAUGGCAUUGCAGAAUAGCAGAAUGCCAGGAGUUGGAAGGGAACUCUGGAGAUCGUCAAGUCCAACCCCUCUGCCAAAGCAGAAUCACCCAGGGCAGGUGAUACAAGAAGGUAUCCAGUUAGCCUCAAACCAGCACAGAAGGUCACUACAAGGUCUCCUCGAAGCCUUCACUUCUCCAGACUGAAGAGUCCCAGCUCUCUUAGCAGAGCUGCUCCAGCCCUCUGAGCGUCUUUGUGGCCCUCCUCUGGACUAGCUCCAACAAUUCCAUGUCUUUCUUGUGUUGGGGACUCCAGAACUGCACACAGUACUCCAGGUGGGGUCUGAUGAGAGCAGAGGGAGAAUCUCCUCCCUUGCCCUGCUGGCCACGCUGCUCUUAAUGCAGCCCAGGACAUGGUUGCUGUCUGGGCUGUGUGCACUCGCUGCCAGCUCAUGUUGAGUUUUGGUCCUUUCUUAAAGUGAGAAGAAAUAAAACUCCAUUUACUUAUUAUAGGCCCUCUGCAAUAAAGAACAUCUUGGGAUCUCAUGGGAUAGACACCUUUAAGGCUUCCUACAAAGAAGCAGCAGAGAGGAGAGAGACUGAGGUAUUCCGAGCUUCCUUGAAGAAGAUUGGGAGGCUUUAAUAGAACAGUGCCAGAGCAAAAGCAAAAACCUUGUCUGUUUUUACUCAGGCCAUGCCAGAUUACAGGAAAAAGAACAACUUCAGGGUGCUGCAGUAUAGUUUUUGGUAGUUUCAGAUCCCAUGCACAGCUGGUUGGGAUGAUGAGUCUUCCAGGCUGCUCACUCCUGCAUGCCUGAGUGGCAGCUGCAGCCAGCAACAAUCAAAGUUGUGCCACAAAUUGCCAAUUCUCUUUCUCCCUCUAUGCUCUUUAUGAUCUUUUCUUCCCUUACUUUUUCCUUCUCUUGAUGUUUUCAUUCUUUUUCCUACAAUAUUGUUUUACCUCCCUUCCUUGCUUCCUCACUUGCAUCUCCAUUGUGUCUCUACCCUCAGCCAUGCCCUUGGUCUCCACUAGUUCUUCUUUCAUUCCCUGGCUGGCCUUGUUGUCUCUUCCUCCUCUCAACCUGUCCUGCUG